ensembl:lncRNA
CACGGGUUGUCAUUAUUACAUCAGGAAGAUUGUGCUUCCUCGUGUUCCAGGAAGCCGUUUGAUUGUAAUAACUGGGUCAGGUGGGUGCUGAAUAGACCGGAGCCGAAGCCAGAAAGAGAUGCAUUUAUUCGUCCUGUAAUCCACUCAUUACGGAUUGGGGUCUGCUUAUCUGAGCACCCAGCACCCUCUCCAUCCCCCCCCCCCCCCUAUUUGAAUGUAAGAAUAUACCUCUUUGUUUGAGUGUUUUACAGAGCAAGAGAUAGUCAGUGGACUAGGGAAUAAAAGCCUGCACGGGAAAAGCCUCUUCCUAAUCAUUUUUCAUAGAACUUGUCUGGUGGCGUGUGGGGUGUCUGUGUCCUUGUCUGCUUGACUGGCGCGUUUUAAUAGGAUGGGAAGAGAGAGAGAGAGGGGGUUUGUGUGAGUGAGAGAGAGAUUUCUGAUUUGGGCGACUGCUCUGGCUUCAGGGUCUCAUGAGAGAGAGCGAGGGCUGUGUUGAAAGAAUGAAAACGGAGAGAGCGAGGAAGGAGAAACGAGAGAGCGUGAACGAGAAUGAGAAAUGAAGUGCACAGCAGUAGACAGACUAUCAUCCAGAUGCCACUCUCAUUGUCUUCCAUCCCCAUCCCAGUCCAUCUUUGUUCUCUCUCUCUCUGUGUGUGUGUGUGUGUGUGUGUGUGUGUGUGUGUGUGUGUGUGUGUGUGUGUGUGUGUGUGUGUGUGUGUGUGUGUGUGUGUGUGUGUGUGGGGGGGUGUGUGGGGGGGUGUGUGUGUGGGGGGGUGUGUGGAUGGAUGGAUGGAUGGGUCCUAUCUCGCCCACCCAGAUGUGUGCAGUUAGCUAGAGAAGCGAUGGCGUCGGGUCUGUGGCCCCAGCUGUUGGCCCUCUUUUGUAGAGAUUAGCCAUAAAGGAUGGUGCUCAUGGGAGCGUGUGUGUACACACACACACACGCACACUCUCACACUCGUGUGCGCACACACUUACCACCUCUUUUCUCUCAUGUUGCCCUGUUCAUUAGAGUGGGGUAAUUUACACAUAAUUGUCACAUCAUUUUUGUCUGUGUGCUCGCCCACUGGUGUUCAUUUCCCUGGCCAUUGAAUUAACACAAAGAGUACGGAGCAACACAACAAAGAGGCCUUCCAAGUAGUGAUUGUGUGGGUGUGUGUGUGAGAGAGCGAGUGAGAGAGAGAGCGACCGAUCUAAGCGUGAAUGUCACUGGUCUUUGUUGCAUUCUCUCUCCCUCCCCUUCGUGUUGCUUCCUCUCUCUCUUUGUUUCUGAGGUGUGUGACUGAAUAGAUGGACCCCUUAUGUUCAUCACCGGUGGGUGAGGUUGGCACUACUGAAUUGACAGGUCCCCUAUGUUCAUCACUGGUGGGUGAGGUUGGCACUACUGAAUUGACAGGUCCCCUAUGUUCAUCACUGGUGGGUGAGGUUGGCACUACUGAAUUGACAGGUCCCCUAUGUUCAUCACUGGUGGGUGAGGUUGGUGCUACUGAGCCAAAAGAGGGCACUGAAAGUACAAGAGCACAAAGGGAGAUGUGGAUCACGUCUGGAGAUUAGUCAUAGAAAAACAACCAAACAAAGCAAAAACAAACUUGUUUUGCUCGAGAGUUCAAGGAGAGAAGCAUCCUCAUCAACAUAUCUGCUUGGCUAUAUAUUGGUAGUCCCCCCCCCCCACACACACACACUUUAUACCUUAAUUAGCCUAGUUAGUGAGCUUGAUUUUAGCAAGGUGUUUGAAUCCAUCUCCAUGUUUUGAUUUUUUUUUCUUCUUUUUUACCUUCAUCGAGAGGUCGUGCUGCAUAAAACAUCAAUAUGAAGAGCAUCGGGCAUUCCUAUGCAGUCUUGACUCGAUGUCUGUCUUCUCUCUGGCUACAAGCUGUUAGUUUCAUCGCUUGAGCUGAGCAUUUGCAAUCAUUUGCCUCGAGUAAAUCACAGCAGCAUAAAACUGUCAUGAAAAAGAAAACUAGAAUCGAUGUGCUUUUAAUGGAAGCCUCAGGAAUGUCUUAAUGAAUGAAACAGUGAGAUGAGCUGUUAUCAUUGGGGCCCUGGGUUUCGUGACCCCAUUGAUAUUAUGCCGUUGGCCUUUGUGUCAUUGCAACAUUUCAGUUCAUUGUUACGACCUUUUCAAUGCAAGCCCUGUUAUGUGAAUCAGAAUCAGUGGGGAUUUAAAAAAUGUGUUUUUAUGAAUGUACUCCAAUCAAAGCAAAAAUUGUCUGAAAUCGAUACAUAUCGGCGUAUCCAUAAUCGAACCUAAUCAAACGGUGAUGAGUAAUGCGCUGCAGGUCUUUGACUGUAGGUUGACUGCUUUCCUUAAUGUUGUUAUCCUUUUUUUUCUAUUUGAUCUUGAAGAUGUGCAUAUCAGGUCUUUACUGUUCUCUUGAUGCUUCUUGAUUUAUUCUAUUUAUAUAUUCAUACAUAUACAUACAUACAUACAUAUAUAUAAACAAUAUAUAUAUAUUUG